GCCAUGCUAGUUGUACGAGUUCAGACUCGUAGCAGAUAGCUCAGUAACACGUGGCCAAACUACCCUAUGGAUCCGGACAACCUCGGGAAACUGAGGCUAAUCCGGAAUACGACUCUCAGCCUGGAAGUGGCGAGAGUCAGAAACGCCCCGGCGCCAUAGGAUGUGGCUGCGGCCGAUUAGGUAGACGGUGGGGUAACGGCCCACCGUGCCCAUAAUCGGUACGGGUUGUGAGAGCAAGAACCCGGAGACGGUAUCUGAGACAAGAUACCGGGCCCUACGGGGCGCAGCAGGCGCGAAACCUUUACACUGCACGAAAGUGCGAUAAGGGGACUCCAAGUGCGAGGGCAUAUAGUCCUCGCUUUUCACCACCGUAAGGAGGUGGUAGAAUAAGUGCUGGGCAAGACCGGUGCCAGCCGCCGCGGUAAUACCGGCAGCACGAGUGAUGACCGCUCUUAUUGGGCCUAAAGCGUCCGUAGCUGGCCACGCAAGUCUAUCGGGAAAUCCGCGCGCUCAACGCGCGGGCGUCCGGUGGAAACUGUGUGGCUUGGGACCGGAAGAUCCAGAGGGUACGUCUGGGGUAGGAGUGAAAUCCCGUAAUCCUGGACGGACCACCGGUGGCGAAAGCGCUCUGGAAAGACGGAUCCGACGGUGAGGGACGAAAGCUCGGGUCACGAACCGGAUUAGAUACCCGGGUAGUCCGAGCUGUAAACGAUGUCUGCUAGAUGUGCCACAGGCUACGAGCCUGUGGUGUGUCGUAGGGAAGCCGUGAAGCAGACCGCCUGGGAAGUACGUCCGCAAGGAUGAACUUAA
rnacentral:rRNA from 1 species